rnacentral:miRNA from 1 species
UGUGUGUGUGUGUGUGUGUGUGUAUAUAUAUAUAUAUAUACACACACAUACAUACAUAUAUAUAUAUAUAUAUAUACGCACACACACACACACAUA